UCCUGGAAGUCAACAACUGUAUCCAUCAAAUCAGAUCUGACCAUAUUCCAGCAGUGCUUGAAAAAAUCCGUAGAGACAUCAGGUGCGAGAGCUUUGUUACUGGCACAACCCUCCACUGCCCUCUUCAACUCUUCCUCCUGAAUUGCCCUCUCUAGUCAUUCACUCUCCUCCCUGCCAAUAUGACUGAACCCUAAACCCCCCAAUUUAGGCCCCCAAUCUGCUACCUCGAACAAACGCUUGUAAAAAUCUACAAUUGCCCCUUCUACUUCUUCCUCCUCCACAUGCACCCCCCAUUCACCUCCACUGACUCUAUGAAAAUCCUUCUCCUAUUAGCAAUUACUACCCUAUGGAAAUGUUUUGUAUUGGAGUCCCCCUCCUCCAACCAUUAUCACCCUCGAGUUUUGUUUCAAACUAAUCUCUUGGGCCAAAGCCAACUCAUCUAGCUCCCUUUUCAACCCCUCUAAAAUUGUUCUUUCCUCAGUUAUUACAAGACUAAUGACUUAAUUCAUGUGUAACUUCGUUCAAGGCUUCAAGCUUCAAAUUUGUGAUGAUCGUCAAAUGGGGAAUAUUGCCAUCUGAUUUUUUGUUUUAGAGUAGAGGAAUAAAGAAGUUGGCAAAUGGGCUAUUCUAGUGGUAUGAUGUAAGCAACUUUGAAGAACUUGAAUGAUAUUUUAUCAGGUAACACCUCUGCCAAUUCCUUCUCAAAGAAAAGCACUAAAGCAAUUAAAAACAAACGCUGAAAAAAAUGAAAACAAAAGGGAUUUAGAAAUGGGAAUUUGGGCAACAUUUCUGAAGUAAAUUUUACUUCAUCAUGGAGUCCACUGAAACUAUUCUGUGGAUUUCAUAGAAGUGAAACACUUAAACAUGGAUGAUUUAGAAAUGGGAAUUUGUGUAUUACUACUAUAGCUUAAGAUAUUGAUGCUUGAGGUAAGAAAUUAACAUUUUUCCUAUUAUGGUUAUUUUUGCCACCUUGUGUGAUCUAAGUUCUUUGUUUUUUCCCAAACCAGUGUUAUUAAAGGCGAGCGCCUUUCGCCUUUGGAGACAAGGCGAGGCGAGGCGUCGCCGCCUAUUUCCAGCGAGGCAAGGCGACCUCUAAAAGGCAUGCCAUGACGAUCAAAAGGCGACUGGCAUGGUGAUGCAAUAGGCGUCGCCUUUUUUUUUU